rnacentral:tRNA from 1 species
UCCCUCAUGGUCUAGUGGUGAGGAUUCCUGGUUUUCAUGCAAGUAGCCUGUGUUUGUUUCCCAGUGUGGGAA